rnacentral:rRNA from 1 species
GACGAACGCUGGCGGCGUGCUUAACACAUGCAAGUCGAACGGAAAGGCCCAGCUUGCUGGGUGCUCGAGUGGCGAACGGGUGAGUAACACGUGGGUGAUCUGCCCCUAACUUCGGGAUAAGCUUGGGAAACUGGGUCUAAUACCGGAUAGGACAAUCGUUUAGUGUCGGUUGUGGAAAGUUUUUUCGGUUAGGGAUGAGCCCGCGGCCUAUCAGCUUGUUGGUGGGGUAAUGGCCUACCAAGGCGUCAACGGGUAGCCGGCCUGAGAGGGUGGACGGCAACAUUGGGACUGAGAUACGGCCCAGACUCCUACGGGAGGCAGCAGUGGGGAAUAUUGCACAAUGGGCGCAAGCCUGAUGCAGUGACGCCGCGUGGGGGAUGACGGCCUUCGGGUUGUAAACCUCUUUCGACAGGGACGAAGCUUUGGUGACGGUACCUGUAUAAGAAGCACCGGCUAACUACGUGCCAGCAGCCGCAGUAAUAC